rnacentral:misc_RNA from 1 species
UUGAAUAAUUUUUUAAUAUUCCAACUCAGACACAAUAAAAUAGAUUUUGGUUGGGGCUCUGGCAGGGCAUCAAUAUCACCUGCCAAAGCAACAGUAUAUGCAUGGUACACAAAGGUUUGGAGGUCGGGCCCAAACAAAGGGACCCCAACUCGGUAAUGAUCCUUCCGCAGGUUCACCUACGGAAA